CACGUACAUUCCUCAUCACGGCGCAAUUCUCAUCCCGGUAUGGUUCUUGCUACAAAAUUCCAAGAAUAGCACAUGAAGACUUCUGGAUUCCCUAGGCGCAAGAAUAGCACAUUCUUGCUUUAACCACCAGCACGUGCUUUUCUUUACUCUCUUCUUCUCCAAACUCUCUGCGUUCUUUUUAUUUUCUUGAAGGUUUCCGACUUACUCUUCUGUCACCGCUCAGCAAAGGAUUGCUUUCCUGUUACUUCUCCACAAUCUCAAGUUCUUUUUCUUUCCCCUUUCCUCUUCUCUCCUUUGUUUUAGACUAGAAUUUUGGUUGCUAUUAAUUUUUCUUUCUCCCCUCACCUGAUCUUAGUCGGCACCUUCUACUCUUAUUUUCCCUUUCUUCUCUUACUUUAGGAU
rnacentral:lncRNA from 1 species